rnacentral:rRNA from 1 species
GUCCACGCCCUAAACGAUGGCAACUGGGUGUUGGGGAGCGAUUCCUCAGUACCGUAGCUAACGCGUGAAGUUGCCCGCCUGGGGAGUACGGCCGCAAGGUUAAAACUCAAAGGAAUUGACGGGACCCGCACAAGCGGUGGAUGAUGUGGAUUAAUUCGAUGCAACGCGAACAACCUUACCUACCCUUGACAUGUCCGGAACCCCAUCGAGAGGUGGGGUGCCCGAAAGGGAAUCGGGAACACAGGUGCUGCAUGGCUGUCGU